GCUCAUUCCUUAUUUAAUCAUUUCAGAUCAAGAGGACAUCGCUCCCGAGCCGCUUCCGCAGGAGGACGACGAAGGGAACGCCUAAGGACUCCAUAGUUACAUUCGUAGUUUUUACUUUCAAGUUUCUCCUUUAGGUAGUUUAAUCUUUUAUAUUUUGUGAGCACGUUUUGGUUUUAGUGUAAGGGAUGUUAUUCAAAUUUUGACUUCGCUUCCGCAUUUGAUAUUU
rnacentral:lncRNA from 1 species